rnacentral:tRNA from 1 species
GGGGGUAUAGCUCAGUUGGGAGAGCGCCUGCUUUGCAAGCAGACUGUCGUCGGUUCGAUCCCGUCUACCUCCACCA